AAUCAACGCUGGCGGCGUGCCUCAGACAUGCAAGUCGAACGAUUAAAGCUCUCUUCGGAGAGUGCAUAGAGUGGCGCACGGGUGAGUAACACGUAAGUAAUCUACCUUCGAGUGGGGAAUAACGUCCGGAAACGGACGCUAAUACCGCAUAAUGCAGCGGCAUCGUAAGAUGACAGUUGUUAAAGAUUUAUCGCUUGAAGAGGAGCUUGCGGCAGAUUAGCUAGUUGGUAAGGUAAUGGCUUACCAAGGCUACGAUCUGUAACCGGUCUUAGAGGACGGUCGGUCACACUGACACUGAAUAACGGGUCAGACUCCUACGGGAGGCAGCAGUCGGGAAUUUUGGGCAAUGGGCGAAAGCCUGACCCAGCAACGCCGCGUGAAGGAUGAAGUAUUUCGGUAUGUAAACUUCGAAAGAAUAGGAAGAAUAAAUGACGGUACUAUUUAUAAGGUCCGGCUAACU
rnacentral:rRNA from 1 species